UACGUAGGGGGCUAGCGUUGUCCGGAAUCAUUGGGCGUAAAGCGCGUGUAGGCGGCCCGGUAAGUCCGCUGUGAAAGUCGGGGGCUCAACCCUCGGAUGCCGGUGGAUACUGUCGGGCUAGAGUACGGAAGAGGCGAGUGGAAUUCCUGGUGUAGCGGUGAAAUGCGCAGAUAUCAGGAAGAACACCCGUGGCGAAGGCGGCUCUCUGGUACGUGACUGACGCUGAGACGCGAAAGCGUGGGGAGCGAACAGG
rnacentral:rRNA from 1 species